rnacentral:rRNA from 1 species
UACAGAGGUCCCAAGCGUUGUUCGGAUUCACUGGGCGUAAAGGGUGCGUAGGUGGCCGGGUAAGUCUGACGUGAAAUCUCCGAGCCUAACUCGGAAACUGCGUCGGAUACUAUCCGGCUCGAGGGUUGGAGGGGGGACUGGAAUACUUGGUGUAGCAGUGAAAUGCGUAGAUAUCAAGUGGAACACCAGUGGCGAAGGCGAGUCCCUGGACAACUCCUGACACUGAGGCACGAAAGCUAGGGGAGCAAACAGG